UACGGGGGGGGCAAGCGUUGUUCGGAAUCAUUGGGCGUAAAGGGCGCGUAGGUGGUUUUGUAUGUCUACCGUGAAAGCGCGCGGCUUAACCGCGUUCCGUCGGUAGAAACUGCAGAACUUGAGACUGGGAGGGGCUGGUGGAAUUCCCUGUGUAGCGGUGAAAUGCGUAGAGAUGGGGGAGAACACUCGUGGCGAAGGCGGCCAGCUAGACCAGUUCUGACACUGUGGCGCGACAGCGUGGGGAGCAAACAGG
rnacentral:rRNA from 1 species